GGCGGGCUUAGGUCUGGCUCCCGCGAAACCCGCAGUCUCUUUCCCUUCUGUUUCACCAAACUCUGGUGGGGAGAAACAGAGAUGCAAAUUAGGGAGCCGAAGACCCGCUUUGAGGGCUGAUGAGGAAUUCGUGUCCAAGAAAGUAAUAUCUCUCCCAUUAAUGUGUGGUGUUCAAGUGACACUAAAGGCGGAGGUGGCCGGCUAAGGCCACUCUGGCUGGUUUCCCUCCACCCUGGGUGUGGCCCCGUGUCCCCCUAGGAGAUAACCCGAGGAGCGUGAGUAAGGCAGGGAGGGGCGUUGGGACCUCGGGGAUACGUGGCCCGGUGUCUGAGUCACAGAGACGAGGAUGUAAAUAAACACGCAAAUGGCUGUUUGUGGCGUAAUGACCAAUCUCAGUAAGGAGUGGUCUAAAGAUUUGCACAUUAACACAAAUUAGCUAGAUAUCACUUAGAAAAGUCAUCAAAUCACAACAUUUCUAAGCAUAAUAUUAAAAAACUGUGUCGAUGACCUUGCACUAUAGACAGGUAUAUUGAGCAGUUAGCAGAUACCUUGACAGUCUUGAGUGAACUAAAACUUGACUCACAAUGGAUCUGAACUUGUUUCAGCAACUAGCAUCUUCUCCUGAGUCAUACGGAUGUUGGUGGGGAGAAUAAACGAGAAUGGAGAUCACCUGACUGAUAGGAUGACUUAGUUCAGAGUUCCAGCAAUUGCCAGAACCAAGUUCUAACAAAGAGUAAACUCUGUGACAAAUGGAUAAAGCUCACCGUUGCAUCCCUCCAGUGGAGUGAACCCAGAAUAUUGUUACACCGAGAUGAAUCAGUUCUGAGGAUCUAAUGUGGAGCAUGUUGACUAUGGUUAACAAUACUGUAU